GACGAACCGUCCAAACGUUAUUCGGAAUCACUGGGCUUACAGAGUUCGUAGGCGGUCCCAAAAGUUAGGUGUGAAAUCCCUCGGCUCAACCGAGGAACUGCGCUUAAAACUGUGGGACUCGAGGGAGAUAGAGGAAAGCGGAACUGAUGGUGGAGCGGUGAAAUGCGUUGAUAUUCACAGGAACUCCGGUGGCGAAGGCGAGGUGCUGGACCCCAUCUGACGCUGAGGCGCGAAAGCCAGGGGAGCGAACGGG
rnacentral:rRNA from 1 species